rnacentral:lncRNA from 1 species
AGUCCGCUUCAGGGUAGCGAUGCGGGUAUGUUGGUCUGUCAUGGUUCUUGGAUGGUUCUUUUCGCGCCCACAUCCAAGAUCCGGUUCAGGGGCACAAUCACCUUGCUUUAGUAGAAAACCUUGAAGCGCUCAGAGUAUAAGCCCAAGAAUUUGCUAGCUGCUUAUUGUUACCAAUGUGUCCUGUUUAAUUUUGACCCGAAACAGUGUUUAUGAGCACGUACUCGCGACAUCUUUUAUCGGCCAAUCAACACUAUUUUGCUCGUGUAUUGACAUCAUCAAAACCUUGCAACAGCAGCUUGUUUGGCUGGAGCAGUUAGCAUGACGUGCUCUGCGCUGGUAGGAUGUAUGGACGACGUUAUCGUCUGAGCCAUUAUUUGGUAGAUGCAUGCUAAUUAUUGCCACUUACCCAUCCCGAAUUGCUUAUCAAGGUGUAAUUUCGUGAUAGAUGGUGUAAGAAGUAACUUAUAACGUACUGCCGCUUGAUAGCCUUUGGGCAGAUUCUAAUACAUUUUUCACGCUGUUACAAACACGGUGCGAAGUCAUACAACAGAAAACUAUUUCAGCUACAGGCACGUAGCACUUGAAAUUACACUCCCCUUUCUUCAUCCCCAGUUCAAGGUAGCCUGCAGGAAUAAUAUGUCUCAGCUGCCUACGCUUCACUUGUCUCUAUCACUCUCGCACUUGCGACCUUUGUUCGGGUAACACUGGUUGAGGAUAAUGUUGCGACGUUAAGUACUGAUGUUGCAGUUUAGGAUCAUGAUGCGACGGUGCCACUGAAUGCAUUGGUGCUGUUGAGUCUCGGCAGGUUGUGCCGCAUUAGUGGAACUUCGUGGUCUCGGGGCUCUUUGGCCAUCGUUGACCCUUUUGCCGUCAAACACCACGCAUCGCCGAUUUCGGAAUGGAAAAGACACAUUCCCUCCUCGCGGCUAUUUCGUUACGCUCCGGCACGUACUUUGAUUUCGUGCCACCGUUUCUUCUUAGACUGCGCGGAACAUGGUGUCAUAGCGUCUAGCCUCUAUACAGGCGGGUCACGCCAUCUCACCUCUGACGAAUGAGCCGGCCAAUCUCCGAAACAGCGUCGGGAUUUAAAAUAAAUUUAGGUUCGAGUUUUCCUUCUUUUUAAUUUCGUCACUUGUUACUUACGAUAAUCUAUUGCAGGCAGAAGCAACCGCGGUUUUCUGCGAUGGUGGUACAUUUUGCUGUAGAUGAAAAUAAUGCCACGAAAAUUGCAGAUGAGUUCAGGGUUAAGCAUUUGCCACAUACAAAGCUAAGAAUAAUGAUACCCGAAUUCUAUUUUAAAGAAGUUACUUUACAGAUCGCACUUUCCCACAACUAGCAACGACAUGGGGGUUUCAAUCUGCGCUCCAUACAAUUGUAGGAAAACUGUGGAGAGUUGUAGGAAACAUCAGGGCCUACUAAGCCACACAGCUCCGCGCUUCGGUCCUGCGUGUUGCGUGGUCACUAUUUGACACCUUCUCAAGACGCUUACGUUGUGCUUUUGCAGGUCUAGGCCGACAGCAUUACAGUGACGAAGUCUUCCUUUUUUCGGGAGGAGGUUGAGCAGAAACGAGGAGCCAUGGUAGAUUCGCCCACGCUUACUCAUCUUCCUUUUUCACGGUUCUCUUUUUUGUUUUAGCUGAAAGGGCAGCUAACAAUAACCACUCAUCAUGUUUCCUGCAAGUGGGCCUGGAGGAUGACAUAUGUGAAAACGCGAAAGGAGCUGGGCGUGUUCAAUUUCCCAAGAAUGACUGACUGCUUUCAAAAUCUUUAGCGCUGUACAGCAAUCGGCUUUUUUGUAAAUCCACCGUCUAUGACACUGUUUAUAUAGAGACGCGUGCGUUUCAGUAGGUUCUGAAGCCUUCUUUGUUAGUAAAAGAGAAUUCGCCGCUUGUAUGCAUAAGCAUUUUGUGCUACAGAAAAGAUUUAGAUUUAUAUCUAAGCGACGGAAAGGUGAGAGAGUGAUGCUACAACGAAUUACAGAAGGGAAACGUGAGUGGAACAGCCUUUUUUGUCCGUGUAGUUGUUUAAGCUCCUAUAUUUUAAUGCUCCAAAGUCGAACGAUGUGCUAUUACCGCCUAUACCAAGAGAAAAUGUUUUAUGCGAAUAGCAAAUCUACCUUCAUUUUACACAACGGGUACCACCAGUCUUUCAAAAGCUGCCCUGCGUGCCAGGGCAGCUGCUGUCAUUGGCUAGGUCUAUUGCCUGUAUGCCGUUGUCAGCAAAACAUAAACAACAACAAAAAAAUCGCACGUUUCAAAGCCCACACAGGUCGUACAAACGACUGUGUUAUUUUUUAUGGCAUAUGUGAACCGCCAUUACUGUUUGUCGGACACCGGUUUGCAAUAUUCUGUGCGAGCGAGUGGCCAACGUUUUAUGUGUGAUAGAUAUGCUUAUAUGGCCGGAUUUUGCUUCUUUAUGCAUAUUUAGCAUGGCUUUAGUGUUAGUUUGUGGCCCUUUAAGUUGUAAUGCUUCUCUGCCCUGAAUCGACCCAAAUAAUGCAUUCGCGCGACUGAUGCGUCUGUCGGAAAACGCAUUGCCUAUUUACAUGAAGUUUGUGACGCUGUUAUGCUAUGCCAAAUUGUGUAGAAUGCUGUGCGAAGCUUCAAUAUUUGUAUUUGUUUCUGCAGUUUUGUGUUAUCCUGUGCUAUGAUGACUGCUUUUUUCUUACGCUAUUCUGUAUGAAUUACCUCAAGCCACAUUAUGCAUCACGUUUGCGUCAAAUGAGCAGCGAGGUUCCGUUUGCAGUCUGACGAAAAUAAGGAGGUUACCUUGUAAACCAGUCGCUUCGAGGCAAUCGACGCGAUCAGAUCUUUAGCUUUCCGAUGAUGCGCUUCAUAUUCGGCGGUAAGCAAACAACGUUAAUACAACAAUACGGCCUAUCGUUCACUCAUGCGAUACGCCGCGCCAUUGCUUUAGUGGCUUGCUUGAAUAACUCGAGAUCCUCAGCCCACCACCGUCUUGUAAUGGCGACAGGACCCAUCUCGACAAAUUUAGAUUGGUCUCUACGUGAAGGGCGAAGUGUCCCGCAUUUUCAGCCUGCAGAAUGCGCAGGCAUUCAUGACGCACAUCGGUAACGCUGUUAAGCGUGAUUUUAAGUGUGAUUACGCUCCCGCUUACACUGUAUACCCAUGGAACAAAGCGAGGUCAUCUUCGUUAAACCCCUUGAGACCUGCUUGCCUAGAUGCGCAUCACGUAUGCGCCUGCGACGAACAUGAAACCCAAUUUUUCGGAACUAUUUCCAUUUGCGUAGUGCUUUGAUCUACUUGUCUGUGUAAUCCGCGUAUCAUACUCCCAGUUGUACUUGCUAUAAUAAUGAAUAGGAUUAUUCUUGCUCUUGGGUUCGCAUCUCGCUAUGGUAGGGCUGCUUACAGCUGAUCAGUCUUCAUGAUGAAACAGCAUUCUAGUGUUCCAAAUGUUUAAAUGGAAGAUAAGGCUGCUUCUGCGCCCCUUCAAAGGAACUUGUGAACAGGUAAAAAAAAAUGAAGACUGAUUGACCUACCUUUGAAGUGCGUCUGACGUUGUUCUAAGGCUUUCAAAAAAUGUGCCGGCCUACUGUCGCAGUUGCUAGUGAGAGCUCAAGCACGCUGUUCCGAGUCGGUGAAAAAUGUUAGUGUAGUGCUGAGUGCUGUUUUCUUGCAGCACUGAUUGCCGAAAACAACAACAAAAAAAAAAAGCCAUGCAAUUUAAUGUUAGUCUAUAGUAGUCGCAUAUGCAUAUUUAAGCGCGUGCUAAAGAUAUGCCAAUGUUCAGCUGUCGCCUUGAAACCAAUGUCUUUCAUCUUUGCAGCGCCGUUUUUUACAUGCUGACUUUUUUGGUGUUGUGCGUGUGUAUUCGUAACGUGUCUGUGUAGAAAAAAAGAACGUUCCCUUUUUCCUGUUGUGGAUGUUGUCAUCGUCGGUGUAUGCCUGUUGUCCCCACUUAUAUGCAGUUGUCACUAUAGACCCACGCUUGUUAUGCUAAGAUGCUAAGCGCACGUUCUCAUGCCUUUCAAAAGCGAAGCUCUCCUAGACGGUGUAUUUAACCCGCGCGUGACGUUAAUGCUCGCAUUGAACAAGAAAGGUUCGUUUCUUGUUAUCUUCCUGUUCACUUCCAAUGCGUGCCAACCACUAUAGAGCUGGCUUUACCCACGCCCUGCUGUGAACAGUACUUCGCGUGUAUGUAAGUUGUUCUACGGAGCCCACGUUAGAUCGCAGUGUGCGAAGUUUCGGUGCUGCGAACGCGACACUGCCCUACAGAUAGAAAAUAUCAUGCCUGAUGCCCAUGUGCAACUCAAGUCUUUGAGGUUCUGAGGAAUGCGCCGCAGCACCUCAGUUGAUAAUGUCAUCAAUAGGGCAACCUUUACCGCAGGGCAUGAAGCGGGAGGAUGAUAAUGUGCUAACACCGCAUUGCAUGUAAUACUACAGAGCUUUACAGCCGGGGCCCCAGGGUGCUUGUGCACGUAAGCGCAUGCGCUCCUUUGUAUUCAGUGUCGGUGCGGCUGGGAGUAGAAAGGAACGCAAGAGCGUGCGUGCUCUAAAACUCUCUAUUAUCAAGUUUAGUUUGAAUCUGGUUAAUGCACCGUAAUUCGCGUGCGCAGCGGCUUUAGCUCUGUGAAAAGAUUGAGUGGUUAACAGAUAAAAAAUGCAAACUAAUUUUAAAACCCGUUGUAGCAAAGAGAAAGCGCCAUGUGUCCGUCACCAUUGGGAUAGUACUGUAUGCUUCACGCACCACUUACGAAAUUGCCGCCGCAUGGUGGCGCUGCUCUCUGUGAUGUUCGAGAGCUAAAGGCGGAGCCUUCUUCGAAUCUAUGACGAUCACUGUCGUAUGAACUCGAAAUACACAUGCAGGUUUUAUAACCAACCCCAAAUAUAAUGCGACAUUUGCCGAUUCCAGAGACGUGAGGUGCGCAUGCGUGGAACCUAAAGGUGAUGAGCGGCGCGUAAAUAAAGUUACAGCCUUUUAACCUAACGUCCGUUCUGCUACGACAGAAAUUGCAGUCGUGGAUUCAGGGGUCUCGGCAAACGUCGCCUACACGACGUCAGAUAAACCCGUUGAACUAUCUCACUGUUUCCAAAAGGUUAACGGGAGUUGCGCGUGUAUUCCUUAUCAAUAUCGCUAUUAGAGGGUGUGGUUGUCGAUGUGAAGCGCGGGCGUUUUAUGUGUACGCGCCUAUUUCAAUCCACUGCCUCAAUUUUCCUGCCAA